rnacentral:rRNA from 1 species
AUGGAACGCUGGCGGCAUGCCUAACACAUGCACGUCGAACGAGUGGCGGACGGGUAGGUAAUGUCUUGGAAACUGGCUGAUGGAGGGGGAUAACAACGGGAAACGGUAGCUAAUACCGCAUAACAUCAGAUGUGCCCAUGUGUGAUUAGGUCGCUGGUGGUGUAAUGGCUCACCAAGGCGAAGAUCCCUAGCUGGUCUGAGAGGAUGACCAGCCAAAUCGGAACUGAGACACGGUCCAGACUCAGACGGGAGGCAGCAGUGGGGAAUAUUGCACAAUGGGAGCAAGCCUGAUGCAGCCAUGCCGUGUGCAUGAAGAAGGCCUUCGGGUUGUAAAGUAAUUUCAGCGGGGAGGCGUUAUCCCCAGAAGAAGCACCGGCUAACUCCGUGCCAGCAGCCGCGGUAAUAC